rnacentral:rRNA from 1 species
UUGACUGCGAGCGUGACGGCGCGAGCAGGUGCGAAAGCAGGUCAUAGUGAUCCGGUGGUUCUGAAUGGAAGGGCCAUCGCUCAACGGAUAAAAGGUACUCCGGGGAUAACAGGCUGAUACCGCCCAAGAGUUCAUAUCGACGGCGGUGUUUGGCACCUCGAUGUCGGCUCAUCACAUCCUGGGGCUGAAGUAGGUCCCAAGGGUAUGGCUGUUCGCCAUUUAAAGUGGUACGCGAGCUGGGUUUAGAACGUCGUGAGACAGUUCGGUCCCUAUCUGCCGUGGGCGCUGGAGAACUGAGGGGGGCUGCUCCUAGUACGAGAGGACCGGAGUGGACGCAUCACUGGUGUUCGGGUUGUCAUGCCAAUGGCACUGCCCGGUAGCUAAAUGCGGAAGAGAUAAGUGCUGAAAGCAUCUAAGCACGAAACUUGCCCCGAGAUGAGUUCUCCCUGAGACUUAGAGUCUCCUGAAGG